UGUGCGUGUGCUAUACUGCAGUCGAGCGAACAGAUGAGAAGCUUGCUUCUCUGAUGUUAGCGGCGGACGGGUGAGUAACACGUGGGUAACCUACCUAUAAGACUGGGAUAACUCCGGGAAACCGGGGCUAAUACCGGAUAAUAUUUUGAACCGCAUGGUUCAAUAGUGAAAGACGGUUUCGGCUGUCACUUAUAGAUGGACCCGCGCCGUAUUAGCUAGUUGGUAAGGUAACGGCUUACCAAGGCGACGAUACGUAGCCGACCUGAGAGGGUGAUCGGCCACACUGGAACUGAGACACGGUCCAGACUCCUACGGGAGGCAGCAGUAGGGAAUCUUCCGCAAUGGGCGAAAGCCUGACGGAGCAACGCCGCGUGAGUGAUGAAGGUCUUCGGAUCGUAAAACUCUGUUGUUAGGGAAGAACAAAUUUGUUAGUAACUGAACAAGUCUUGACGGUACCUAACCAGAAAGCCACGGCUAACUACGUGCCAGCAGCCGCGGUAAUACGUAGGUGGCAAGCGUUAUCCGGAAUUAUUGGGCGUAAAGCGCGCGUAGGCGGUUUCUUAAGUCUGAUGUGAAAGCCCACGGCUCAACCGUGGAGGGUCAUUGGAAACUGGGAAACUUGAGUGCAGAAGAGGAGAGUGGAAUUCCAUGUGUAGCGGUGAAAUGCGCAGAGAUAUGGAGGAACACCAGUGGCGAAGGCGGCUCUCUGGUCUGUAACUGACGCUGAUGUGCGAAAGCGUGGGGAUCAAACAGGAUUAGAUACCCUGGUAGUCCACGCCGUAAACGAUGAGUGCUAAGUGUUAGGGGGUUUCCGCCCCUUAGUGCUGCAGCUAACGCAUUAAGCACUCCGCCUGGGGAGUACGACCGCAAGGUUGAAACUCAAAGGAAUUGACGGGGACCCGCACAAGCGGUGGAGCAUGUGGUUUAAUUCGAAGCAACGCGAAGAACCUUACCAAAUCUUGACAUCCUUUGACCGCUCUAGAGAUAGAGUCUUCCCCUUCGGGGGACAAAGUGACAGGUGGUGCAUGGUUGUCGUCAGCUCGUGUCGUGAGAUGUUGGGUUAAGUCCCGCAACGAGCGCAACCCUUAAGCUUAGUUGCCAUCAUUAAGUUGGGCACUCUAGGUUGACUGCCGGUGACAAACCGGAGGAAGGUGGGGAUGACGUCAAAUCAUCAUGCCCCUUAUGAUUUGGGCUACACACGUGCUACAAUGGAUAAUACAAAGGGCAGCGAAUCCGCGAGGCCAAGCAAAUCCCAUAAAAUUAUUCUCAGUUCGGAUUGUAGUCUGCAACUCGACUACAUGAAGCUGGAAUCGCUAGUAAUCGUAGAUCAGCAUGCUACGGUGAAUACGUUCCCGGGUCUUGUACACACCGCCCGUCACACCACGAGAGUUUGUAACACCCGAAGCCGGUGGAGUAACCUCUUAGGAGCUAGCCGUCGAAGGGGUACAAAAC
rnacentral:rRNA from 1 species